GUCCUAGCCCUAAACGAUGGGCACUAAGUAGAGGGGAUCCGAUAUUCUCUCUGCCGGAGCAAAAGUGUUAAGUGCCCCGCCUGGGGAGUAUGGUCGCAAGGCUGAAACUCAAAAGGAAUUGACGGGGGCUCACACAAGCGGUGGAGCAUGUUGUUCAAUUCGAAGCAACGCGAAGAACCUUACCUGGGUUUGACAUGCUUGGGACAGCCUAUGAAAGUAGGCCUUCUCUUCGGAGACCCUUGCACAGGUGUUGCAUGGCUGUCGU
rnacentral:rRNA from 1 species